UACGAAGGGGGGCUAGCGUUGCUCGGAAUUACUGGGCGUAAAGCGCACGUAGGCGGAUUGUUAAGUCAGGGGUGAAAUCCUGGAGCUCAACUCCAGAACUGCCUUUGAUACUGGGGAUCUCGAGUCCGGAAGAGGUGAGUGGAACUCCGAGUGUAGAGGUGAAAUUCGUAGAUAUUCGGAAGAACACCAGUGGCGAAGGCGGCUCACUGGUCCGGUACUGACGCUGAGACGCGAAAGCGUGGGGGAGCAAACAGGG
rnacentral:rRNA from 1 species